rnacentral:rRNA from 1 species
UACGGAAGGUGCAAGCGUUGUUCGGAAUGACUGGGCGUAAAGCGCACGUAGGCGGGUUUGUAAGUCGGGUGUGAAAGCCCCAAGCUCAACUUGGGAACAGCACUCGAAACUGUGAAUCUUGAAUGCUUGAGAGGUUGGUAGAAUUCCUGGUGUAGGAGUGAAAUCCGUAGAUAUCAGGAGGAAUAUCGGAGGCGAAGGCGGCCAACUGGCGAUGCAUUGACGCUGAGGUGCGAAAGCGUGGGGAGCAAACAGG